AUUGAACGCUGGCGGCAGGCCUAACACAUGCAAGUCGAACGAGUGGCGGACGGGUGAGUAAUGUCUGGGAAACUGCCAGAUGGAGGGGGAUAACUACUGGAAACGGUAGCUAAUACCGCAUACCAUCGGAUGUGCCCAUAUGGGAUUAGGUUGUAGGUGAGGUAACGGCGAACCUAGGCGACGAUCCCUAGCUGGUCUGAGAGGAUGCACAGUACGACGCGAACGGUUACACGGUCCAGACUCCUACGGGAGGCGGCAGUGGGGAAUAAUGCAAUAUGGGAGGAAGCCUGAUGCAGCCUUGCAGCGUGUAUGAUGAGGGCCUUCGGGUUUUGAAGUACUUUCAGCGGGGAGGGGUUACCCGCAGAAGAAGCACCGGCUAACUCCGGGCCAGCAGCCGCGGUAAUAC
rnacentral:rRNA from 1 species